rnacentral:rRNA from 1 species
AUUGAACGCUGGCGGAAUGCUUUACACAUGCAAGUCGAACGGCAGUACGGGGGCAACCCUGGUGGCGAGUGGCGAACGGGUGAGUAAUACAUCGGAACGUGCCCAGUCGUGGGGGAUAACGUAGCGAAAGCUACGCUAAUACCGCAUACGAUCUACGGAUGAAAGCGGGGGAUCGCAAGACCUCGCGCGAUUGGAGCGGCCGAUGGCAGAUUAGGUAGUUGGUGGGGUAAAGGCUCACCAAGCCUUCGAUCUGUAGCUGGUCUGAGAGGACGACCAGCCACACUGGGACUGAGACACGGCCCAGACUCCUACGGGAGGCAGCAGUGGGGAAUUUUGGACAAUGGGCGAAAGCCUGAUCCAGCCAUUCCGCGUGCAGGAUGAAGGCCCUCGGGUUGUAAACUGCUUUUGUACGGAACGAACGGCCUUUUCUAAUACAGAGGGCUAAUGACGGUACCGUAAGAAUAAGCACCGGCUAACUACGUG